UCUCGCUGUCACCUUGCGGGGGGCCCUGUGAAAAUACAUACAAAUACACUACGCUACUACUCAGACUUUUUACUUAUUGAAGUGUUACAUUUGAAUUGAGUAUGACUGCUGAGUAUGACUGUCGAAUAGGUAACUAUAAGUGUAAAAAGUGGUGCUCUCUCUUUUCCCAAAGUGUUCUGGAGUCCGUCCUCAGCUGGCAGAUGACAUGGAGACACGACCUGAGUCAGGUGAAGAUGAGGAGGCUUACAGAGGAACUGAGAGCUUCCCUGAACUCCUGAGUCACCCUGGCUUGUCGUCGGGCAGAGCAGAGAGUGUUUUUGACUGCCCUUUUGGCUCAUAUUUAAACAUGGAUCGGCAGCUAACACAAUGCAUGUAGUGCAGUAGAGAAGUCGAAUAUCUGACCCUUUAUCAGGAGAAUAUCUGCCUACUGGAGGAUGAAAAUAAUGACCUUUGGAUUGCUGGGUUUAAAACCAAGGGGGAGUUGUCUGUUAUUGUAUGAUACUUCAGUGAAAUUUCAUUAAUAAAACUAUUUUGAAGCUCAUCCAAAUUGCUAUCUAGAUUUCCUUUCUAAUAGGUGUGCAAAAGCUAUUUGGAACAGUUUGAACGCACAGAAAGUACAAAGGCUAUAAAGCCAAAUGUCUGCAUUUUACCCCUUGCUGCACAAUAAAAAAUCCUUAAAGAAUUGUUAAAGAAGAAUCUUUGAUUCUUUGUACUUAAUGUGUGUGAAAUAUUGGAGUAUGUGAAGCUAAAACAAAACAUUUGAAUGAUUUAUAUCUGAAAAAUGGAUGAAUAAUUUAUUAUGAAAAUAAAGUAGAAAGUUGAAAA